rnacentral:rRNA from 1 species
GGUUUUUCCCCGAAUUAAAAAGAGCUAAAGUAAAAUGUAUUUUAUUGUAAAAUAAAUAUUUAAAAUAAAAUUUUAGGUGCUAUAUGCAAUUCAAUUUUUAUUAUAUCUGGUUUUUUUGAAAAAAAGUUUAAUUUUUCUAUUUUACUUUAAAAUUCUAAGUUUCUAGAAUUUUUUUUUAAUAGAAAUAUCUAAAGGGAUGAGCUUUUAGAUAUAUUAUAUAAAUUUUAUGUUUAUUCAAUUAUUUAGGAUUAAAAAUUUCUAUUUUUUAAAUUUUGUUAUUAUUUUUUUGUUGUUAUUUUGAUUUUUAUAAAUUUUUUAUUUUGUUAAAAAAAUAGUUUCUUUAAUAAUUUAAGUGAUGUAAUAAUGAUAAAAUUAGUAUUUUUAACUGUUAUAUUUAGUAAUUUUUAGGUUAAAUAAAGGAUUUCUUGCAAAAUUUUUACUCACCUGUUUAUUAAAAACAUGUCUUUUUGAAUUUAAUUUUAAGUUUCUCCUGCCUUAUGAAAUUUUCAUUCGCU